rnacentral:rRNA from 1 species
UACGUAGGGUGCAAGCGUUAAUCGGAAUUACUGGGCGUAAAGCGUGCGCAGGCGGUUGUGCAAGACAGAUGUGAAAUCCCCGGGCUUAACCUGGGAACUGCAUUUGUGACUGCACGGCUAGAGUGUGUCAGAGGGGGGUAGAAUUCCACGUGUAGCAGUGAAAUACGUAGAUAUGUGGAGGAAUACCGAUGGCGAAGGCAGCCCCCUGGGAUAACACUGACGCUCAUGCACGAAAGCGUGGGGAGCAAACAGG